rnacentral:rRNA from 1 species
UGGGGGAUAUUGCGCAAUGGGGGAAACCCUGACGCAGCAACGCCGCGUGAAGGAUGAAGGUUUUCGGAUUGUAAACUUCUUUAAGUGUGGAAGAAGAUGACGGUACACACAGAAUAAGCCACGGCUAACUACGUGCCAGCAGCCGCGGUAAUACGUAGGUGGCGAGCGUUGUCCGGAUUUACUGGGUGUAAAGGGCGUGUAGGCGGGUUGUCAAGUCAGAUGUGAAAUACCGGGGCUUAACUCCGGGGCUGCAUUUGAAACUGACAGUCUUGAGUGCUGGAGAGGAAAGCGGAAUUCCUAGUGUAGCGGUGAAAUGCGUAGAUAUUAGGAGGAACACCAGUGGCGAAGGCGGCUUUCUGGACGGUAACUGACGCUGAGGCGCGAAAGC